rnacentral:lncRNA from 1 species
AGAAACUUGGAGAACCUCUCCUAACAUGUCAGCAAAACUCUGUAGUUUGAGAGAUAGGCAAAGAUUUUCAACUGUGUUGUUGUUGACAUUUCAGAUUAUUUCUUUCCAUGUCUGGCGCCAAGCUAUUAUUCUAGCAAAUGUUAUAUAUGAUUUUUGUUAUAUGCAUAUAUAUAGAUUUUAUAAUGAUAGCAUUUUAUUUCAUUCUAUUAUCCGUAGGACUAUAUGGAGAAAUUUGGAUACGCUAACCCUGGUAGAUCUGGGAGUGAAGAUUUUAACACAGCCAUAGCACGUUUCCAAAAGUACUUUCACCUUGAGGUGACUGGACGACUGGACGAGGAAACGAAAACCGAAAUGCUGAAGCCUCGUUGUGGUAAUCCUGACGAUGUCGAUGGCACUGAAAGAAGCGGCCCGCAAGCAUUUAGGACUGGUUCCAAAUGGAGCAAGACAAGUUUAACGUAUCGCUUCCUACAAGAAUCGGAAGAUGUGAGCAGAUCUGUAAUGAAAGCGACUUUUAGAAAGGCGUUUGGAUAUUGGAGUGCAGUGACACCCCUUAAAUUUAGGGAAGUAACAAGCGGAACGAGCGAUUUUACAAUCAAGUAAGUCGAAAUUUAUUUAUAUUAUCGUGUAUAUAUACAUACGAUAAAUUACAUUAUAUAUACCUAUGUACUAAUAGGUAAUUCUAGCUUUAGACUAAAUUUUGAUCUAAGCAAGAAGAACAAACUCCAUCAUCACAGCUAGAAAGAGCAUGUUAAAAUUAGUAAAAUUGCAAAAUUUGGUCUCGAAAUGUUGUAAAAUGCGGAAAAUACAGCCCUGCGGAAUUUGCAAAUUUUGUAUUAAUUUGUAUUACGCGCGGGAAACUGAUGCACUGCACCACAUUUGGGCCGAAAGUGGUGCAUUUUCCCGUGCGUAAUACAAAUUAAUCCAAAAUUUGCAAAUUUCGUAGGGCUAUAUUUUCCGCUUACAACAUUUCGCAACCAAACGUUGCAAUUUUUCUAAUUUUGUGGUGAUAGAUUUUGUUCUUCUUGCCUAGAUCAAAAUUUAGUCUGUAGCUGGCUGGAAUCAUCUAUUAUGGGACGAGUUCAGAUUAUAUACCCCAAAAUCCAUGAAGGGUGGAAAUUAAUUGAAGCGUGUGAGGAGAAUCACAUGCUUUAACUCCUGUUUCGGGGCGGGGAUCAUUUAUAACUUUUUAAAGUCAAUUCAUGUUGCGAGCAUGAUCGGCAAUUUUUUAAAUGAGGAAAUAUUAAUAUUGGAAGUGACUUACAAACUCACAAUCUACCGCCUUCAUAAUUUUCAUAUCGUGUCCAACCUCAAACUUAUGUAUUCUGGCUUUCCAGGUUUGCAAGACGAUCUCAUGGAGACAGUGCACCAUUUGAUGGCCCUGGCAGAGUUUUAGCGCACGCGUACCUCCCGUCAAACGGCCGCGUCCACUUCGACGAAGACGAAGGUUAUAGCGUCAAUGGAGAUAACGUAAAUGGACGACGUGGAAUUGAUCUGCUGGCCGUGGCUGUACACGAGAUUGGACACGCGAUUGGCUUAUACCACUCAAAUGUCAAAGGAUCUAUCAUGUGGCCUAGUUAUAAUGGAUAUAACGCGAACCUCAAACUGCAUAGUGAUGAUAUCAAGGGUGCGCAGUCCUUAUAUGGUAUGUAUAGAUAUUUUGGAAGGUAGUUUCAUUGAGCCUAGUUGGAGUAGGAUAACGGUUAUUUUUGCUAACGAAAUGAUAGGAAUAAGGUUUUAGGAGAAGUGUCGAUACGCGAGAUGUGACAAAAAUAUACAGACGAAAAAUGUGCGAGUUUAUUCCGAGAUAGCAAGAAAAUUUGAGCACUCUUCAUCUAACAUGAACCUGUUUAGUGUUCCUAACAUAUAGUAGGGUGAGGCUGUUAAUAUAUAAACAAAAAAACACGAUGGCUGUUAAAAAACAAUUUAACCGAUGUUCUCUCAGCACAAAAACCAAAGAACCGGUUUCUUCCCAAAGACUAGUCUGCGCGCACGCUACCAAAAGACCGUCUCACCUUAACAUAUAGCAUUAAAAUUACUCAAGCAAUCAGGUCCGCUUUCAAAGGUUAGCUAAUAAUCAUUAUUUCUUAUUUCAGGUCGUAAUACAGGUGGAGGUGGUGGAGGUGGUGGAACAGGAGGUAUUUAUUAUUUUUUCACUCUUUCCUCUUAUAUUGGAAACUUGUCCUGUCUGUCUAUUCUAGACACAGGCAUUCUAGAUAACAGGCAGGGGCGUAGCCAGUCCCAAACAAGUCCUAUCGUCAAAUGCAUAGAACAACUAUGUGGUUCGGUCGUCAGGGGCAUUAAGGUUCCCCGAAACAUAUUUCUAAUCGGAAAGCCACAGAUUUGGUAUAUUUUAUGUCAUAGAUGAAAGCAUUACGAGGUUACGCCGCGCACAAAAGCAGAACUUAAAGACAUGAACUGGAUCUUUACUCUGUCGCUAGCUCUAGGCCCUUAGUUCGGAGCCACAUCAAAAGAGAGGAACAUUUGGUAUUUCAAUCAAGCUAACUUUCUCCGUGAUCUUAACGAUUUAUUUCUCUCGUUUUUCCCAAGGUUCGUCGUGUUCUGAUAAGAAUCAAUAUUGUCCAAGAUGGAAGCGGUACUGUACGUCCUCAGUGUACGGCAAUUACAUGAGAACAUAUUGCAAGAAAACAUGCAACCUUUGUGGUAAGAGUAUAAAAUAUAAAAUAUAAAACUGUUAUUCAUAAUCUGUUAAAAAUAACCCAUACAAACUAUUUUAAAAAGAGACAAAUGAAUUGAGUUCAAUGUGAAAACAUUUAUCCAAGCUUACGUUUUGUUGCUUCAAGAAGCUUCUAGCUAGUAUUUUUCGCAACAGCUCCAGGUCAGAUCUUCAUUUCCAUUCCUGAAGAUUUUUCAACAGAAGUUGUAAUUGGUCGAAAUCCUUUUGAUAUUUUCAGGAUCAUCGUGUGCUGACAAGAAUAGAUUUUGUUCGUAUUGGCGAUUCAGAGGUUAUUGUCGUGGAAGGUAUGCGACGUUCAUGAAGCAAAAUUGUUCAAAAUCUUGUGGAUAUUGCUCAAGCCGAGGUAGGAAAGAAAUACCGUCACAUUUUUACUUCAGUUGUUGUUUUAUCUAAUGUCGAUUACGCAGGAUGUCAUCGACACUGAAUUAUUCUCAAAGAAACAAGAGAAAAGUUCCACCAGGAUUUCUUGUAAAAGUUGACUUUUAGCGGCAUUUGAAAUCACAUCUUCAGGACACCCCGUUCUACCUAUUGAGCUAUCAAACCAACGGGGACUGGGGGCGAAUUUUCUCCAUUUUACUAAGCGCUGCACGAAAUAUUUUCGCGAUUACACGAGUCCCGAGUUCAAAUCCCACUCGAGUCAAAUUUUACAGUCGACUUGUGCAGUGCAAGAAAUCAUGUUGGGUGUGGUAAUAUGAGCACACACCUCCGUUUUACUGCCUUAAACCCACCCAAUAAUUUUAGGGGCAGCAAAACGAAGGUGUUUGCUGAGGCUAAGGGCGUGGUUGCCCAAUUCACCCGAGAGCCUUAUGAUACACGUACUCGACAACAAAGGCCUAAGGGUUAGUUAUCUGAUAUUGGAGGAAAGCGAAGGAUCAUUGAGGGUCAUUAAGUAAGGACACGCUAUCCGUACUGCCCAAAUUAAAAUACACAUAUAGCGAAUAUUCAAGAUUGUAUGAAUAAAUGUCUGACACAUCUCUUAUUCUUGAAUUUUAGGCUAUUAAUCGUACUGGAGAUUGGACCACACCAUGCGCAAACUGAAAACGUUUCAACUAUGUUUAAAAUCUCAAAUUCUGAUAAAUAUAAUUUAAGAAGUAAUAACAAGAUGCUGAUGUUGUCCAAGCCCAAAACAAAUUAAAUGAAAAGGACAUUCGGAUAUGCUGCUGCUAAAGACUGGAACUAUAAUAGUAAUAAUUUUAAAUCUACUUAAUUCAUUUGUAAUAUAUAUAUUUAACGUAUCGCUUCGACCCAAACAUUUCUUAGUAUCUUUUAAUAUUUUUAUAAUAGUUUAUAUAAUAGUAUUUCGAGUUUUAAUUUGUAUUUAGUAACACUUACAUAUCUCGUAGCAGAUCAUUUUUGUAUUAGUUUUUGUAGAUUUAAAUUUGUCAAUAAAGGGAAUA